AUUGAACGCUGGCGGCAGGCCUAACACAUGCAAGUCGAACGAGUGGCGGACGGGUGAGUAAUGUCUGGGAAACUGCCCGAUGGAGGGGGAUAACUACUGGAAACGGUAGCUAAUACCGCAUCCCAUCGGCUGUGCCCAGAUGGGAUUAGCUCGUAGGUCGGGUAAUGGCUCACCUAGGCGACGAUCCCUAGCUGGUCUGAGAGGAUGACCAGCCACACUGGAUCUGAGACACGUUCCAGGCUCCGACGGGAGGCAGCAUUGGGGCAUAUUGCACACUGGGCGCAAGCCUGAUGCAGCCCUGCCGCGUGUGUGAAGAAGGCCUUCGGGUUGUAAAGUACUUUCAGCGAGGAGGCGUUACUCGCAGAAGAAGCACCGGCUAACUCCGUGCCAGCAGCCGCGGUAAUUC
rnacentral:rRNA from 1 species